UGCAGUCAAGAAAUACUUCGCCUAAAAAGAAAAAGAACAACUCGCUAAGUUGAAAACCUGAAAGGGCGACUUAGGCAAAAAUGAGUGUCUCGGUGGAUUGAAAACCCGAAAGAGCGAUCCAGGAAAAAGUUAGAGACAUAAAAUAGAAAAUUUAUCCUGAUAGAUUGAGUACCCUACCUUAGGGCAAUCUAGGCAACAUUAGGAUUAUAGCAAGUAACUGCAUUCGGUUGGUCAUAGUCAUGGGGGCAGCUUUGAGCAAGUCAUUUGGUUCUGAUUCAUUACUCUCAACCAAAGCCAAGAGCAUAAUGGAUCUUGAAGUUGGUAGGAAGGAUAGUGAUCAUUGUAUUCAAUGUAGCCCUUUUCCAUGUAAAUUACCAUUUUCAACUUAUGUAAAGAUCUAUGGAGUCUUAUCAUUUAUAGGCUACCAUUCUAAUUAAUAAAGUUGAGCUUUU
rnacentral:lncRNA from 1 species